rfam:Modestobacter sp. VKM Ac-2676 NODE_745_length_1612, whole genome shotgun sequence.
GCACCCGUAGCUCAACGGAUAGAGCAUCUGACUACGGAUCAGAAGGUUAGGGGUUCGAGUCCCUUCGGGUGCA